ensembl:lncRNA
CGUCGCAGCUUUAUGAUGGACAGCCGCCGUGUAACGUGACGCGACCGCAGAAGCACAGGUGAUGUCUGGGGAUGAGUGGCAUUGAACUACAAGCAGUCCGCUAGUGAAAGUCUCUAGACUCCGACCUGUACCACGCAAUGGCGGAUUUAGCUGUAAAUAAAUAGUAACGACAAUCAUUGACUCUACAGUAGCCAUGGCGACGGUGACCAAAUGUUCAAGUCAUUAAUGUUUCGUUGUAGCAUACCAGUACCUAUUUUAGCAGCAUCAAAGUAGAGUUAUUUGUAUGCAAUUAUUUCUUGACUUUUAUUAUAUGCACCUCGGAAACAAUACGGGUGUCUGGACCUCGGUGACCUCAUUGUUGGGUACGUUCAUGAAGACAGUUACAAAAUGAAAAGCAUGCCAACACAGAAUUUUCCAAUGGGUGGCGCUGUUGUAAUCCUAUAGGAGAGGAUAACGUUCCACUGGAUGAUUGGUAAAUCGUUAUUGACCUAAAUAAUUGUAAAUCUCUUACCCACUGUCAUUCCAUGGGAACAGUUAGCCGUUAUAUUAUCUUGAAAUAGCGUACUGCCAUUUAUCAGACUUACAUUUCCAGCGAUGGGAUCAGGACACAAAUUAUGCAUAAUCUAGACUAGGUGUAACCACAAGCAGCCUAUUUAUUAAUCAGACUUCAAAGAGUCUACACUCCCACACACCUUCACCUCAUGUUUUUAUGCUUACGAGUUAUAAAGUAAAACAAUUUACAGAUCUCGAAUAGACAAACAAUAAGCUAAAUAAUUGACCAAAGAGAUCUGGGGACGAACUUCAAAGGAUAUUUUCAAAGUUAAUUUUAGAACACGAGAUAUUUGGAUGUCAAUAGAUUUCUGACAUUCCGUUAUGUAGGCCAAGCAUCUGGGCUAUACAUCAUUUCAAUGAUAACAAAUGACAUUCGUUCUUAAACGCGUCGAGUUACAUUUUAUUCCGAUGUGAUUUCCAAAUAAAAGAAACCGCCUGGGGUUCGUGGACGCGCGCUCCAUUCGCUUAUGCUCGUCCACGUCUUUAUGGGAAAGUCUCAAUGGAAAAGUCUUUCCCUUCUGGAUUAGCUGGAGAAGCUAGCUAGCUAAAUAGUUUCAGUUCCAGGUCUGACAAGAAAACCAACACUAAUGGGGGACAUUUAGUGCCAUAUGUGGAUAUGUCAUUACCGCUCAUUUUAAGCUGCUUUUCAUGCUAAGGUAUCCAUUUUUGCUCCGUUUAGACUGGACUGAGGCGUAGCGUAGCUUGCUACAGAUACUAACAGCUGGAUGGUGGAUACUUUAUGCUAAGCUAACGACAGCCUAUUGCGGUCUGUCUUGUCUCGGUAGUUAGCUAACUAUCGUAGCAUAACAUUUAGCUUCCUCAAUGUUUUUAAGGGGUGCACACGGUCUUGAAGAGCACUGAAGUAUUAAGAUGUUAUUUAAACCAACCUCUGGUUCUUUCGUCGCCUGUGGUUCGUGAUAAUGCGACGUUUUGGUGUGAACUGGGGAGCCUUUUGGAUUUGGAAUAGCGGUAACUUCGCUGUGAAAUGCUAAUGUUGCUGAAUCCACUUUAAAAUAAGGUGAGUACACAGAGUGUUAAAAUCACGUGGCGAAUUUUUUCUAAUAAGUUUUGUUUAUGUUUUGUGGUACAUAAUACCUCUGCAUGUGCAUAGGCAGACAUGGGUAUGCGUUGGAAGCCAUGUGCGUAGAUUACAUACAGGGACACACACACACACACACACACACACACAUUCAUAUACACUCAUAUGCAUGCCCGCACCCUUACAUAGAUUUAUGGUGUGUGCGGUUCAGGCAAGUCUCUGAUCUGUGGUAUUCAGAAGAAUAUGUGUGGAGGCAACGACGUUCAUAGCUGAUGAGUGCCCAGGCAAGCGGUGAGCUCGCCCUUGCAUGUACGCUCGCACGGGCACUCUUCCCUCCGCACCACCUCGCAACGGCAAGUCUACUCGUGAACGUUUGCUGGCAAGCUAGUCCAUAUAAACAUAACACACACACACAAACACACACACUACAGAUCACGGUAUGGCUACGUGUUGGCUGACUCAGACUCGUUCACACACACAGAAUCUGUCUGUUUCUCAUCCAGUGUCAUUUUUUCAUCACCCCAUUGGUUUGGGUUAGACACAGAGUGUACUUACACUUACAUACUGUCUCUUACACGACAAAUACAUAUUUAUCAGAAUUAUUGCACUACCUGCUACUCCCAUUUGUCUGUAGUUUAGUUUAUUAUAUGUUACUAUAUGUGUAUUAUAUGUUAUAUGUAUAUAUGUUAGUAUUAUAUGUAUAGGUUGGUAUAUGUUUUAGCAUAUUGUAUAUUUAGUAAGGUUAUUAUAUAUGUUAUUACAUGUAAAUUAUGUUCAGAGUACUUGUACAGAGUGUAUGUUAUGUUAUGUUAUGUUAUGUUAUGUUAUGCUAUGUUAUGCUAUGUUAUGCUAUGGUAGGUUGUUGUGUGGUGCCUUGUCCUAAGAAUUUCAGUGCCCAGUCUGACCCUGUGUCAUUCUGUGCAUCUGACAAUAAAAGACUUGUAACUUGUAACAGAGUGUGAACUCAUGACUCGGGGUCAGUAGAGUAGUCACAGGGAGGAAACCCAGUCAGAUGCUUAACCCAUUGCCUUGGUGAUUCUAGAGUUUUAAGGUUGUGUGUCCUGGGCGCUAGCUACUAGUAACAUCAGUAGGAGUAGUGAUGGUGAUGAUGGUGAUGGUGAUGGUGGUGAUGGUGAUGUUUCAGGUGUGCUCUGUGGGUACUCCAAACAGGAUAUGAGCAACACACACGUACAGUAAGGAUAUGAGCUACACACUCGUAUAUGAGCUACACACUCGUACACUAAGGAUAUGAGCUACACACUCGUACACUAAGGAUAUGAACUACACACUCGUACAGUAAGGAUAUGAACUACACACUCGUAUAUGAGCUACACACUCGUACACUAAGGAUAUGAACUACACACGCGUAUAUGAGCUACACACUCGUACACUAAGGAUAUGAGCUACACACUCGUACACUAAGGAUAUGAACUACACACUCGUACACUAAGUAUAUGAACAACACACUCGUACAGUAAGGAUAUGAACUACACACUCGUACACUAAGGAUAUGAACUACACACUCGUACACACACACACACUGACAACAGUACACUAAGGAUAUGAGCUUCAUCUGUUUAAUUUUCAGUCAAAUCUCACCCCCUGAGCAUGCAAACAUCCACAGGCGCACACACACACACACACACACACACAUAUACUGAUAAACAUUCGCACACAUACACACACAUACUGACAAACAUGCAUGCACAUACACACACACAUACACACACACAUACAUGUACCCACGAAUGUGGAUGCCAAGAUAAUGUAGGGUUGAAAUUGCCUUUCACUUUCCGUACUAAGUAGCUAAACAAGCAUAAGCUUGAGCAUAAGGAGCCGAACAGACAUAAGCUCUUUACGAUUGGUUUGGUUAAGGUAAUGGUUGACCAUGAUUGGUUGGGUUAUGGUUGACAGCGAUUGGUUUGGUUAGGGUAAUGGUUGACCAUGAUUGGUUGGGUUAUGGUUGACACUGCGAUUGGUUUGGUUAGGGUAAUGGUUGACUCAACCAGUCACUGCAGCCAGAGAGAGAGAG